GGAGCUCUCUCUUUAGAAGAGGAGAGCAAGGCCCACUUUGUCUGUUUUGCUCCCCAGUUAGGUGGAAGGCCAGUCUGAGGAAACGUCCAUCUACUUUCUUCAAAGACAGCAGGCAGAGAUGGUAGCCUUGAAGAAAAUGAAGUGAAACCAUGGCUUCACAAGUGAACCAGCUGCAGUCAAAACCUCGAGGCCACAAUAUAAAUCCACGGCUCUGAAAAAGUGGAAGGAGAGAGGGCAAAACAUCACACAGGUAAGAAUACUUGAUACGUUUUAUUCUUUUKUUUGUUUGUUUGUCUGCUAACAAAUCUGACUUCUGAGGUGAAACACUAUUGACUAAGCAGUGUCUCAACAUGAGUAGCCCACUUUGUGAUCUAGUCGGGGCCCAAAUUGCUAGCGACGCUCAUAAAGUGCUUGUAAUUAUAUAACAAUUAA
rnacentral:lncRNA from 1 species